rnacentral:rRNA from 1 species
AGAGUUUGAUCCUGGCUCAGGACGAACGCUGGCGGCGUGCCUAAUGCAUGCAAGUCGAACGGAGAGAACUUCGGUUCUCUCAGUGGCGCACGGCUGAGGAACACGUGGGUUAUCUGCCCUGGUGUGGGGGAUAACAGGUCGAAAGGUCUGCUAAUCCCGCAUACGGUCUGCACAAGCAGAAGAAAGCCUUCGGGCGCACCAGGAGGAGCCUGCGGCCCAUCAGGUAGCUGGUAGGGUAAGAGCCUACCAGGCCAAUGACGGGUACCUGGUCUGAGAGGAUGAUCAGGCAGAUUGGGACUGAGACACGGCCCAGACUCCUACGGGAGGCAGCAGCAAGGAAUUUUCCGCAAUGGGCGCAAGCCUGACGGAGCAACGCCGCGUGCAGGAGGAAGGCUUUCGGGUUGUAAACUGCUUUUGUUGGGGACGAAACGGACGGUACCCAACGAAUAAGCCCCGGCUAACUCCGUGCCAGCAGCCGCGGUAAUACGGAGGGGGCAAGCGUUGUCCGGACUUACUGGGCGUAAAGCGCACGUAGGCGGUCUGGAGCGUCGGUACUGAAAGUGCCCGGCUUAACCGGGCAAGGUGUACCGAUACGACCAGGCUUGAGGCAGUAAGAGGUUGGCGGAAUUCC